GCCGGGUGUGGUACGUGCCUGUAGUCCUAGCUACUCAAGAGGCUAAGGCAGGAGAAUUGCUUGAGCCCAGGAGUUUUGGGUUGUCAUGUACUAUGCUAAUCAGGUGUCUGCACUAAUAUGGCAUCAAUAUGGUAACCUCUCAGGAGUGAAGGACCAUAACGUUGCCUAAGGAGGGUGAAGUGGCCCAGGUUGAAAGCAGAGCAGGUCAAAACUCCUGUGCUGAUCCGUAGUGGGACUGCACUUGUGAAUAGCCACUGUACUUCAGCCAGGGCAAUAUAGUGAAAACCC
rnacentral:SRP_RNA from 1 species